UACAGAGGUCUCAACCGUUGUUCGGAUUCAUUGGGCGUAAAGGGUGCGUAGGCGGUCGCGCAAGUCGGAUGUGAAAUCUCAGGGCUCAACCCUGAAACUGCAUUCGAUACUGCGUGGCUAGAGUGCUGGAGGGGAGACUGGAAUUUACGGUGUAGCGGUGAAAUGCGUAGAUAUCGUAAGGAAGACCAGUGGCGAAGGCGGGUCUCUGGACAGUUCCUGACGCUGAGGCACGAGGGCCAGGGGAGCAAACGGG
rnacentral:rRNA from 1 species